UCAAAUGUUGUUAAAUGAUCCUCAUGAUGCGAAAGGUUAUGGUGCCAAGGUGAAAAAAUGCAUACAUAUUGCAACUGGACAGACCGUGGCAACUGCCUAAUUUCGCAGAAAGAGGAACAUUAAGUGAAGGAGAAGCUCGAAAAUACUUCCGCCAGCUCAUUCAUAGCAUAAAUUAUUGCCACAAACUCCUAUUGGUCCAUCGGGAUGUGAAACAAAACAAUAUCUGAAAAUAGCAGAUUUUGGUAUUAGCAAUUACCUAAUUGAUGAUUUGACAUUAAGUACUAAUUGCGGAACAGAUUUCUACAGGCUUCCAAGGGUAUUGGCAACGACAUCUUGUUGGAGACUGUCAACAAAAUGAAAUGUGAUAGAGAAGAUCUUAUUCAGUCUCUUAUCAAGGGAAACACACAGAGGAAACCAUUACAUACAAGCUGUUGAAGAAGAAGAUGCGAGCCAUUGAAGAUGACACUUUCUCAAAAUAUGU